rnacentral:rRNA from 1 species
AUAACGGUCCUAAGGUAGCGAAAUUCCUUGUCGGGUAAGUUCCGACCCGCACGAAUGGUGUAACGAUCUGGGCACUGUCUCAACUACCCACCCGGCGAAAUUGUAGUACCGGUGAAGAUGCCGGUUACCUGCGGCAAGACGGAAAGACCCCAUGGAGCUUUACUGUAGCCUGAUAUUGGGUUUCGGAAAUCUAUGUACAGGAUAGGCGGGAGACUUGGAAACAUGAGCGUCAGCUUGUGUGGAGUCGAUGUUGGGAUACCGCCCUUAGGUUUCUGGAAUUCUAACCUGCGGCCGUGAAUCCGGUCGGGGGACAUUGUCAGGUGGGCAGUUUGACUGGGGCGGUCGCCUCCGAAAAGGUAACGGAGGCGCUCAAAGGUUAGCUCAGCACGGACGGAAACCGUGCCUCUGAGUGUAAACGCAAAAGCUAGCCUAACUGCGAGGGUGACGGCCCGAGCAGUAACGAAAGUUGGAGUUAGUGAUCCGGCGGUAUGUGAAUGGAAAUGCCGUCGCUCAACGGAUAAAAGCUACCCUGGGGAUAACAGGCUGAUCUCCCCCAAGCGUCCACAGCGACGGGGAGGUUUGGCACCUCGAUGUCGGCUCGUCACAUCCUGGGGCUGAAUUCGGUCCCAAGGGUUCGGCUGUUCGCCGAUUAAAGUGGCACGCGAGCUGGGUUCAGAACGUCGUGAGACAGUUCGGUCCCUAUCUGUUGCGGGCGUAAGAGAUUUGAAGGGAGCUGUCCUUAGUACGAGAGGACCGGGAUGGACGUACCUCUGGUGCACCAGUUGUCCUGCCAAGGGCAUAGCUGGGUAGCUAAGUACGGACGAGAUAAACGCUGAAAGCAUCUAAGCGUGAAACUCCCCCUAAGAUGAGAUCUCUCACCUCGAAAGAGGGUAAGGGCCCAGGAAGACUACCUGGUAGAUAGGCCGGAGGUGGAAGUGCAGUAAUGUAUGGAGCUGACCGGUACUAAUAGCCCGAGGGCUUGACCUA